UACAGAGGUCUCAAGCGUUGUUCGGAUUCAUUGGGCGUAAAGGGUGCGUAGGUGGCGCUGUAAGUCGGGUGUGAAAUUUCGGAGCUUAACUCCGAAACUGCAUUCGAUACUGCGUGCUUGAGGACUGGAGAGGAGACUGGAAUUCAUGGUGUAGCAGUGAAAUGCGUAGAGAUCAUGAGGAAGACCAGUGGCGAAGGCGGGUCUCUGGACAGUUCCUGACACUGAGCACGAAGGCCAGGGGAGCAAAACGGG
rnacentral:rRNA from 1 species